UACGGGGGGGGCAAGCGUUGUUCGGAAUUACUGGGCGUAAAGCGCGUGUAGGCUGCUCUGCAAGUCGGAUGUGAAAGCCCUGGGCUCAACCUAGGAAGUGCACUCGAAACUGCAGAGCUUGAGUCCUGGAGAGGAAGGCGGAAUUCUCGGUGUAGAGGUGAAAUUCGUAGAUAUCGAGAGGAACACCGGUGGCGAAGGCGGCCUUCUGGACAGUGACUGACGCUGAGACGCGAAAGCGUGGGGAGCAAACAGG
rnacentral:rRNA from 1 species